rnacentral:lncRNA from 1 species
UUCAAUGUCGAUGAUAGCUUUUCUUACAAUUUUGGUGGAAGUCUUGGUAAUUAAGAGAGAGUAAAGAGGUGGAUUGGGUCGGAUGUGGGGAACAGAGAGAGAGAAGAUAGAAUAAUUCUAAGAAAGAAAAUAACACUGCAGAUUGUUUAACUCUUCACAGCUCUCCUUUGGCAAAUAACGAUUUAGCUUACUCAUGCUGCUAACUUUCUAUUUAUUUGACAGCUCAAGCUUAUAGUUUAGCUUAGUCAUCUUCAUAAGGC